AACGAACGCUGGCGGCAUGCCUAACACAUGCAAGUCGAACGAGACCUUCGGGUCUAGUGGCGCACGGGUGCGUAACGCGUGGGAACCUGCCCUUAGGUUCGGAAUAACUCCCCGACAGGGGUGCUAAUACCGGAUAAUGUCUUCGGACCAAAGAUUUAUCGCCUUUGGAUGGGCCCGCGUUGGAUUAGCUAGUUGGUAGGGUAAAAGCCUACCACGGCGACGAUCAAUAGCUGGUCUGAGAGGAUGAUCAGCGACACUGGGACUGAGACACGGCCCAGACUCCUACGGGAUGCAGCAGUGGGGAAUAGUGGACAAUGGGCGAAAGCCUGAUCCAGCAAUGCCGCGUGAGUGAUGAAGGCCUUAGGGUUGUAAAGCUCUUUUACCCGUGAUUAUAAUGACAGUACCGGGAGAAUAAGCUCCGGCUAACUCCGUG
rnacentral:rRNA from 1 species